rnacentral:rRNA from 1 species
GACGAACGCUGGCGGCGUGCCUUACCCAUGCAAGUCGGACGGUCUAUCUUGGGCAACCGAGGUGGAUAGUGGCAGACGGCUGAGUAACACGUGAGGACCUAUCCAGUUGAGGGGGAUAGCCGCUCGAAAGAGCGGGUAAUACCGCGUAAGCCUCUGGGGGGUAAGCUCUCAGGGGGAAAGCGGGGGGGAGACUCUCCGCGCGACUGGCGGGACUCGCGGCCCAUCAGGUAGUAGGUGUGGUGACUGCGCACCUAGCCGAUGACGGGUAGCUGGUCUGAGAGGAUGGCCAGCCAGACUGGGACUGAGAGACGGCCCAGACUCCUACGGGGGGCAGCAGGGGGGGAUCUUGGUCAAUGGGGGAAACCCUGAACCAGCGACGCCGCGUGAGGGAAGAAGGCCCUUGGGUCGUAAACCUCUUUUGCCAGGGAAGAAGGCGGGGCCUGUUACAGGGCCCUGCUUGACGGUACCUGGCGAAUAAGCCCCGGCUAACUACGUGCCAGCAGCCGCGGUAAUACGUAGGGGGCAAGCGUUGUCCGGAAUCAUUGGGCGUAAAGCGCGCGUAGGCGGCCCGGUAAGUCCGCUCUGAAAGUCCAGGGCUCAACCCUGGAACGCGGGUGGAUACUGCUGGGCUAGAGGCCGGAAGAGGCGAGUGGAAUUCCUGGUGUAGCGGUGGAAUGCGCAGAUAUCAGGAGGAACACCUAUAGCGAAGGCAGCUCGCUGGGACGGUACUGACGCUAAGGCGCGAAAGCGUGGGAGCGAACAGGAUUAGAUACCCUGGUAGUCCA